UACGUAGGUGGCGAGCGUUAUUCGGAUUUACUGGGCGUAAAGGGUCCGCAGGGUGUCUGCCAAGUCUGAUGUGAAAUACCAAGGCUCAACCUUGGAACUGCAUUGGAUACUGGUGGACUGGAGUGUACGAGGGGAGAGCAGAAUUCCCGGUGUAGCGGUGGAAUGCGUAGAUAUCGGGAGGAAUACCGAUGGCGAAGGCGGCUCUCUGGCGUACUACUGACCCUCAUGGACGAAAGCGUGGGUAGCAAACAGGAUUAGAUACCCUGGUAGUCCACGCUGUAAACGGUGUGCACUAGAUGUGGGCGGUGAUUUAGUCCCGUCUGUGUCCAAGCUAACGCGUUAAGUGCACCGCCUGGGGACUACGGUCGCAAGACUAAA
rnacentral:rRNA from 1 species